CAUGAGCUUGGCCCUAUUGUAUCUAGAGUUUCUUUGCUUCUCCAGAUAUUUGCAUCUGAACGUGUGAACUAUCUUCGCAAGUAGCAGUGGCUGGGGCAACCAGGCACCCAUACAGCCAUAACACAGAAUGGAAUGUGUUGGAAGGGACCUCAAAGAUCAUUUAGUUCCACACCUUGGACAGGGUUGCCCACCACUAAAUCAGGCUCUAGAUCAGGUUGCCCACUAGAUCACCUGGCCUUGAUCACCUCCAGGGAUGGGGUAUCUGCAACUUCUCCAGGAAGCUUGUUCCAGCUCCUCACCAUCCUCACCAGGCCCCCACUGGCCAUGAAAAUAUGCAGACCUCUGUACACGGUCCUCAGUCCCAGGGCAGCCCUGGACUGCACUUUUCAUGAAUAGGAAGCUCCUAGGAGUGAUACGUGUCCUGGGAGCCUGUGGGGACGCUCAUGGAGGAUUAGGGCCUCAUUACAGCAAUUGCUGGAUAGAAAGUGUCAUCUUGUGUAAAUGUCUAAUCACAGAGCUGCCUCUCUGUCCUGUAAUUAAGAUACAAAGGUGAAAGUUAUUAAGAAAUAACUGCCACUUCCACAUGGUUCCUGUCAGGUAUGUUGAUUGUGGUAAUCCAUUUUUUAUGGGAUUAAUCUACUUUAAUCUCGGCUUGCACUUUCAUAAGAUUAACUGAAGUGGUGUGCUUUUUAACAGAUCUGGGCUGAUGGUCUGGGAUGAAAGUGCAAAGUGGAAACUGCUCCAAUCCAGACCGCUCUGAAGGAACCAGCCACGUCCUUCUGGAGGACCGAUUUCCUCAUGGUGACUGGCAAGUCCUCAGCACAAACACACCAUGGAUGAAAAACGGGGUCAGGCUUUGUGCUAUGUCCUCCUUUUUAUUUUCCUUAAGCACACAGGGCUGCGGGCAGGAUGGAUCGGGACUGGUGCCUCUCCUGGAAGGGCCAGAGAUAGACUCAGGAGUGAAGUGUCUCUGGUGGCUAUCUGCUCUCCUUUGGAUAAACCAUGACCAUAAACCAUGGCAACAAGAAGAGAAGUCCAGACACAGGUAAGGACCCUGUAAAACUUUCUAUCAGCAUCUCCUAGCAAGCAAGUCACUGACUGACCUGUAAAUAACACCCAGCUCUGUUAUCGUCUGGCAGACUAGGCCAAGUGUGGUGUUAAAAAAAGAGCAGCCUUUCAAAUCUGGACAUAAUAAAAUGCAGUUGUCUCCAGAAUAUCA
rnacentral:lncRNA from 1 species